AGCCAGGGUGUUGUAAGCAGUGGUGAUAGCUGAGAAUAUGCAGCCGUUUUCUCCUUCCUGGGUACAGUGCUAUUCUGCCUAGAGUCUGACUACCACCCAACCUUGAGGCACAGUGAAGACAUCGGUGGCCACUCCAAUAACAGCAGUCACAGCUGCUCUUCUGGAGGUGUCCUACAGGUGAAAAGCCCAGCGACCCAUCAGGAUUUAAGUUUACCUCAAAAAUGGAAGAUUUUAACAUGGAGAGUGACAGCUUUGAAGAUUUCUGG
rnacentral:lncRNA from 1 species